rnacentral:tRNA from 1 species
ACUCUAAUAGUUUACAAAAAACAUUGGUCUUGUAACCCAAAA